rnacentral:rRNA from 1 species
UAAGGAAUAUUGGUCAAUGGGCGGAAGCCUGAACCAGCCAUGCCGCGUGCAGGAAGACGGCCCUACGGGUUGUAAACUGCUUUUAUACCGGAAUAAACCUCUUUACGUGUAGGGAGCUGAAUGUACGGUAAGAAUAAGGAUCGGCUAACUCCGUGCCAGCAGCCGCGGUAAUACGGAGGAUCCGAGCGUUAUCCGGAUUUAUUGGGUUUAAAGGGUGCGUAGGCGGCUUUUUAAGUCAGGGGUGAAAGACGGUAGCUUAACUAUCGCAGUGCCUUUGAUACUGAAGAGCUUGAAUGUACUUGAGGUAGGCGGAAUGUGACAAGUAGCGGUGAAAUGCAUAGAUAUGUCACAGAACACCAAUUGCGAAGGCAGCUUACUAAAGUAUGAUUGACGCUGAGGCACGAAAGCGUGGGGAUCAAACAGGAUUAGAUACCCCCGUAGUCC